rnacentral:rRNA from 1 species
CUAGAGAUAGGACUUUCCCUUCGGGGACAAAAUGACAGGUGGUGCAUGGUUGUCGUCAGCUCGUGUCGUGAGAUGUUGGGUUAAGUCCCGCAACGAGCGCAACCCUUAUUGUUAGUUGCCAGCAUUAAGUUGGGCACUCUAGCAAGACUGCCGGUGACAAACCGGAGGAAGGUGGGGAUGACGUCAAAUCAUCAUGCCCCUUAUGACCUGGGCUACACACGUGCUACAAUGGACGGUACAACGAGUCGCAAGACCGCGAGGUUUAGCAAAUCUCUUAAAGCCGUUCUCAGUUCGGAUUGUAGGCUGCAACUCGCCUACAUGAAGUCGGAAUCGCUAGUAAUCGCGGAUCAGCAUGCCGCGGUGAAUACGUUCCCGGGCCUUGUACACACCGCCCGUCACACCAUGAGAGUUUGUAACACCCAAAGCCGGUGGGGUAACCUUUUGGAGCCAGCCGUCUAAGGUGGGAUAGAUGAUUAGGGUGAAGUCGUAACAAGGUAGCCGUAGGAGAACCUG